rnacentral:lncRNA from 1 species
AUUCUAUCAGUUUAACUGAUUCUUGGCAGACCGCCAACUGAACUCCAGUACAAUGGAUGUCACCAACUUUGGUCAGGCCAGGUUUUCCCCUUUAACACAGUAAACUAUCUACAGUCUAAACAGUGUUCAGUACAUAACAGAAUUCUUUCAUUUAUACUUCUCAGAAAAGUAGUUUCUUCACAGAAGGUAGCCAUCCCCACUCUCUCCCCCCCCCAAACCUUCUGAAUUACUAACCAAUAUUAUAUGUUGGGUAUUUAUUAACAUAGAAACAGAAAGAAAACAAUCCUUAAGAUAUACUCAGUAUAAUGAAAUGGAUCUGUAGAAUAUAAAAGGAACUGUAACUUACCACAGGUUUCACCUUUGUUGUUUCACAACAUUUUAUAUGCAGGUAAUAUAUAUGUAUGUUUAAUUUUUUUGGAUUAAGUAUAGUUAAAACUAGUGCAGGUGGAUGGGUUUUUGUGUGUGGGUUUUUUUUAGUUGCAGAAUGGCACUGCUAAACAAAGGGAACAAUGGAUUGCCCGAAGCCCUAAGAAAGCCUUUUAAGUAUUUGAACACAGUCCUGGAUAUUUCCAUGCUAAAUAUUUUGCUGCUUAAGCAGCCACCUGUUCUGUUCCCUUUAGCUGCCCUUACUGAGGAGAAAUGUUUAGGAAAAGCAUCUGGAAAGUAUUAACAGUAAUGGUCCAAGAAUAAAAUUAUGCACAAGUGAUGAGGGCGAGAUGCUUAGGCAGAUAAUUAGGCAGAUGCUUCCAAAUUUAACAAACUACCCCCCAAAGACAGUGGCCCUGCUCCAGUUAAGGGAGUAGGUGUAAAAGGCUUCUGCAUCCAUAUCACUUACCUGGAUGGGGAACAAAGUGUGUGAAUGUGAUUCCCUGGCCCAUUUCUGCACCUGGUGCUGCGCACAUACAGCCUUCCUCCCCACGCCCCAAAUCCCACAUAUCAGCUAUUUACAAUAGACAAAGUUUCCCAUUUCUUGUCAAACCACUUUUAGUAAGAUUUUGCUCUUUUUUUAUCAAGGGUUGCACAGCUGUAAACCUGCCUUUUUUGAAUUAGCACCAGGAGCCUAAAGAUCAAUUUAAGGGCAUCUGUCUUUGCUUCUGUAGUAAGCAACACAUGGGGGGGGGGACCUGGUGUGAUACUAGUCAAAGAAUAGAAUGAAGGGAAACAAAACUUUGUUAUCCAUUGUGCAACCAUGAUAUACUCUCCUGGCUUUGGAAGCACACACUGCCUCCAAUAGCGGAGGCAGAACAGAGAGCUAAUGCCAUAGUUUAGCUGUAUGAAGAAGCACUUUCUUUUGUCUGACCUGAAUCUUCAUUGUGUUCCCCAGUUCUGGUCUUAUGAGAGAGGGGUGGGAUUCUCUAUUCACUGUGUCCAUACCAUGCAUAAUUUUCUACACUUCCAUCACAUUGCCUCUUCCUUACCUUUUUUGCUAAACUUAAAAGCCCAAAUUGUUGCAAACCCUCCUCCUGGAGGAGUUGCUCCAUCCCCUUGAUAAUUUUCAUUGCCCUUUUCUGAACCUUUUCCAACUGCACAACAUCCUUUUCAGGAUGAGAUUGCUAUAACUCUACACAGUAUUCCAAGUGAGGUCAGACCAUAGAUUUGUACAAUGGCAUUUCUAUUUCAAUUCCUUUCCGAAUGACAUCUAGCAUGGAUUUUUCCCUUUUCACAGCUGCUGCACACUGGGGCUGGAUCUAGACACAUCAAAAAGUGUUUCAGGAAAACGCAUUGCAAACCUCAAACUGGGAAAUCAUGUUGGCAAAAGACAGAACUCCACACCGCCAUCUGGUGUCACGGUGUUAUAACACAUAUAAAAAGCUUUUUCUUUACUAAUGCACCUGAGUCCUGGGUCAAACAUCUGCAUUUAGCUAUCCACCAUGAUCCCAUUCCUGGUCAGUCACUGCCAGUACGGACCCCAUGACACCAUCCCAAGCACUGCUUUUUCACACAGAGUGUGGAAGAUACAGAGAGCCUACAUCUUUUAUCUUGCAGAUGAAAAAGCAGCUUGGCAAGAGUAUUAUUUCUGACUUGGAGAAAGGCCACAAAGUAUAAAUAGUUAAACAACAUCUCUCCACCUGUCCUUAUUCCACAGAUAAAUGUAUCCUAAAAUUCCCAAGUCAUUUAUACAUGGAAUAGAGCCAUAAUUAAGCAAAACCCCAAGCUUUUAAACAAUGGCAUGCUUACUGGAGUGUUUUCCCGACAAAUUGACUGCUUGUGAAUCUCUAAAAAUGGGACAUUUUUCAUCAAGGAAAUUAACAAAACACAAAAGCUUGGAUCAAUCCAGUUACAGUAAAUGGAGAAGGUUGUUUAGAAGCAGAAAGCUCAAAAGUAAGGUUUACAUCUGUAUUUCACUCAAAGAAUAUGUUUUUCUACAGCUGGUAAAGCCAAGGGCAAUAGUGUAGAUUUGGGUUUUUCCUCCCAAAGCUGUCUGCUUGAUUCAUGCCUUCAUCAAACAUUUCUUGCAUUGUUCCACCAGCACCAAUUGUGCUGUUAGCUGUUGCAUCAUGCUUCACUUAGCUAAGCUGCCUUUUCCUUGUCCAUUUAUCCCUGCCCCCUCCCCGCCGUCAAUAAGCUGCAAGGCUUAAUGAUCUUCCGGCAGGCACAGGUCAUAAGAUUUCUUCAUGGACAAAACUGGCUUUAUUUCUAAGCUACAAGUGUCAGGAUCAAUGUCAUUCAAACCCCUGGGCCCAUGGAGCAGUUAUCACUGAAUGAAGUAUAAUAAAUGUGUCAGAAAGCACAAUCUAGUUUCUCCUGCAUGUGAAAAAUCAGAUUACUAUAGGGGGAAACAGACAAUAGACUAAAUCCAGGGAAUGUGUUACUGACACUAUGUUUAUCUAGGGACAGGCAUUAGGACUGUGAAGUUUAUAUGAUGAUCAGGGGACAGUACAUCAUCAUGCAUCGAAGACAGAAGAAUUAGCAGCGCUGUAACAGUUUGCAACAAGGCAGGACAUAUAUUAGUUUUGUGGCACAUCACUUAAGCUUUUAUGCUCAUUUCUUCAACUGAAAUAUUUAAUGCUAAAUUCCUUAAGUGGGUCCAUUAUGCUUUCUCUCUCUACUCCCAUUAUCUGUUUCAAAGGAAAAACAUGACCAGCCCUUUUUCUAUUCAUAACUUUUCCCAUAACUGACAUGGAAAAUUCACAGUAAAAAUG